UUUUAAAAGUCUGUGGUUUCAGAGAUGUCUAGUGACAUUCAUAUUUACCUUCCAGGGCUGCAGUGGCACCUGCUAUAUGAGGCUGAGAGGAGAGGCUGCUCAGACGCAGAGAGCCCAGUUGAAAUCUACCCACACUUGCUAUUAAAUCACAAGCCGUCCACACAAAGAACAAAAUCCAACCAACAGCUACGGGGCUCCGUGAGGCAGUGGACACCAGUGCUGCAACCCUCAUGCCCCGAAAUGCACCUGACAUAUGGGACAUGGAUGGAGCUGGAAGCCACGAUCCUCA
rnacentral:lncRNA from 1 species